rnacentral:rRNA from 1 species
UACAGAGGUCUCAAGCGUUGUUCGGAUUCAUUGGGCGUAAAGGGUGCGUAGGUGGCGCCGUAAGUCGGGUGUGAAAUUUCGGAGCUUAACUCUGAAACCUGCAUUCGAUACUGCGGUGCUUGAGGACUGGAGAGGAGACUGGAAUUCAUGGUGUAGCAGUGAAAUGCGUAGAGAUCAUGAGGAAGACCAGUGGCGAAGGCGGGUCUCUGGACAGUUCCUGACACUGAGGCACGAAGGCCAGGGGAGCAAACGGG